rnacentral:rRNA from 1 species
CACGUAGGGGGCAAGCGUUGUCCGGAUUUAUUGGGCGUAAAGAGCUCGUAGGUGGUUCGGUAAGUCGGGUGUGAAACCUCCAGGCUCAACCUGGAGACGCCACCCGAUACUGCUGUGACUGGAGUCCGGUAGGGGAGCGUGGAAUUCCUGGUGUAGCGGUGAAAUGCGCAGAUAUCAGGAGGAACACCAGCGGCGAAGGCGGCUCACUGGCCCGGUACUGACGCUGAGGUGCGAAAGCGUGGGGAGCAAACAGG